AUCGGCCGAUAAUAGCCCUGCGCUGUCUGGAGAGCUCAGCCCAUGGCGGCCCGUGAUUUGACAGAGCAGGACGCUGAUUUAAUUAGGAGGCCAUUUGCUCCGUGUUCCGGUGGAGGAUAACUGUGCUGCAGGAGGGUGUUUGAUAUCUGUAUCAGUCAAUACCUUCUCCUUGCCUUACACUGUACACCCAGGGAGACCUGCUGAGAGAUAUUUCUGGGUAACUCUUCUUGAGUCGAUGUUAAUUUCCUUCUUGUUGAUUGGCUAAAAAAACCUGGAAGCUGCUUUGGUGGAUUUGUUUUUCUUAAACUGGCAAAACCUCCCGCUUUUUCUUUCUUUGAGGAGCAGGUGCACAGAAGGUUUAGCUGGCAUCAGAUCUAUCCUGGGAGAUUUAGAUCCGUGUGAUCAGUUUUUUUGUUUUUUUUUUGUUUGCUCUUGGCUCCUCCUCUCCUGUAAGGGCUCAAAACGCACAACAUUACACACACCGACUUGAACCUCAGAAGAGACGUGACUCCAGCAUCUGAUCCGCUUUUUUUUUUCUCCCAUCACAGCUCCAUCAAGAAUGGAUCAAGAUGAGAACGUCAAGCCCCGGGAUGCUGCGCCCCUGUUCAUGCGCUUCCUCCGGACACUCAAGGAACUCCUCAAAUUUGUCCUCCUCAGCUACACGGUGAUCUUCGGUGCUCUGCUCCUGGCCAGGUGGACCACUUACUUUAUAGUGGGAAAGUAAAAGGAGCUGAACAAUGAGCUUCUUCCUGCAUUUAGAGCAGAGACUGAUUAAACCAACCUUCCCGGGAUUAAAUGUCUGACGCAGUUGCUACAAAACGAGCAAUAGCAGGAAGGAUUUGAAAUAUUUCUUUCCUCUCUCUGUGAUUUGCACUCUCUGUUAUUGUCUGCUUUU